UAUCUGGUUGAUCCUGCCAGUAGUCAUACGCUCGUCUCAAAGAUUAAGCCAUGCAUGUGUAAGUAUAAAUAAUUCUACUUUGAAACUGCGAAUGGCUCAUUAUAUCAGUUAUAGUUUAUUAGAAAAAAUGUACUACUUGGAUAACCGUAGUAAUUCUAGGGCUAAUACAUGAAUGAAUCCUCGACUUUGAAGAGGUGUGUUUAUUAGUAUGAAAACCAUAUGCCUCGGCAUGAUAGUGAGUAAUAAUAACCUUUCGUAUCGUAUGUUGACAUAACGAUAGUUCUUUCAAGUUUCUGCCCUAUCAGCUUUCGAUGGUAGUGUAUUGGACUACCAUGGCAGUAACGGGUAACGAAGAAUUUGGGUUCGAUUUCGGAGAGGGAGCCUGAGAGAUGGCUACCACAUCCAAGGAAGGCAGCAGGCGCGUAAAUUACCCAAUCCUGACAGAGGGAGGUAGUGACAAUAAAUCACAAUGCGGGACUAUUUAGUUUUGCAAUUGGAUUGAGAACAAUGUACAAGAGUUAUCGAUAAACAAUUGGAGGGCAAGUCUGGUGCCAGCAGCCGCGGUAAUUCCAGCUCCAAUAGCGUAUAUUAACGUUGUUGCAGUUAAAAAGCUC
rnacentral:rRNA from 1 species